UACAGAGGGGGCAAGCGUUGUUCGGAAUUACUGGGCGUAAAGGGCGCGUAGGCGGCCUGUUAAGUCAGACGUGAAAUCCCCGGGCUCAACCCGGGAACUGCGUCUGAUACUGGUAGGCUUGAAUCCGGGAGAGGGAUGCGGAAUUCCAGGUGUAGCGGUGAAAUGCGUAGAUAUCUGGAGGAACACCGGUGGCGAAGGCGGCAUCCUGGACCGGCAUUGACGCCGAGGCGCGAAAGCCAGGGGAGCAAACGGG
rnacentral:rRNA from 1 species